GACGAACGCUGGCGGCGUGCCUAAUACAUGCAAGUCGAGCGAAUCUUUUGGGAGCUUGCUCCCGAAAGAUUAGCGGCGGACGGGUGAGUAACACGUGGGCAACCUGCCUAUAAGACUGGGAUAACUUCGGGAAACCGGAGCUAAUACCGGAUACGUUCUUUUCUCGCAUGCGAGAAGAUGGAAAGACGGUCUCGGCUGUCACUUAUAGAUUGGCCCGCGGCGCAUUAGCUAGUUGGUGGUGUAAUGGCUCACCAAGGCGACGAUGCGUAGCCGACCUGAGAGGGUGAUCGGCCACACUGGGACUGAGACACGGCCCAGACUCCUACGGGAGGCAGCAGUAGGGAAUCUUCCGCAAUGGACGAAAGUCUGACGGAGCAACGCCGCGUGAACGAAGAAGGCCUUCGGGUCGUAAAGUUCUGUUGUUAGGGAAGAACAAGUACCAGAGUAACUGCUGGUACCUUGACGGUACCUAACCAGAAAGCCACGGCUAACUACGUGCCAGCCGCCGCCGUAAGAC
rnacentral:rRNA from 1 species